rnacentral:lncRNA from 1 species
GACGGAACAACAACCUAUUCACUCGAAGACUUAGCCGCGAACCAGUCUUCGCCUAAGUUAAAAACAUACUCCUAGUGCACAACAAUCCUCUCACUCGGGGGCUUAGGUGCGAACAAAAAUCGCCUAAGUUUCUAAAAACAUUCCGAGUGCAGAACAAUCCUCUCACUCAGAGGAUUAGCUGCGAACCAGUCUUCGCCUAAGUUAAAACCUAGCCGAGUGAACAUCAACCUAUUCACUCGGAGACUUAACCACGAACUAGUCUUCGCCUAAGUUAAAAACAUACUCCGAGUGCAGAGCAAUCCUCUCACUCGGGGGCUUAGCUGCGAACAAGAUUUGGCCUAAGUUUCUACUCGCUUACCUACCUUUACCUAAUAAUAAUGAGGGAGAUGAAUGUCACACUCACUGUUAACUCGAUAUAUACUUCCUACUCAUGUUUUCUCUCAUGUUGCGUCUUUCUUUCCCAUGCAAAUAUCAUGCAAUAUCUUGUCUUUGGUUGUGUCACUUCUCGGUUACUCAUAGGCAUGAGAGAUAUUAGGAAGUUCCUUGCUACGGAGUUUCAGAAUGGGACAACAAUGAUGAUUUGGUGUUCAAUGCUGUGGGAUGUUUUGUUGAGAUUUAGUUAAGCAUGCUUUAGGACAACAAUGUUUUGGUGUUUGAUACCGCCUGAAGCAUUGCUGAGUGUUCAGUAAGUACAUUUUCUUGGAUGCGAGUGGAUCAAAAGCAAAUUCAGCAUUGGUGCAUGUAGUAACUUCUGAACGAGAUGUUUAAAAAUAAGUCCUACCAUUCUCCAAUUUACUAGAAGUCCAGGGAAUAGCACGGUUAAGAAAAACCUUUAUUCAAUGAGUACGUAAUAUGACACGCGUGCAGAAGCUUAUUUUUGAAAACUUUCUUCUAGAGUAAGCGCAUGGCAAGAACACAUUUUUUCUAGCCAUGCAUCAUGAUACGUGCGUGCGUGCAACUUUCAAAGUACUUGCUUACGCUGAACUCCAAAACGAGAGAGGUUGAUCAGAUAACAAGGUAAUUAAGAGACUAGACUUGCAAACUAAAGUUGACCAAAGAACAAAUAUGGACCUUAUGGAUAAAUAGUCGAAGAGAGGACGAUGCAUGAGGGGACUGAAGAGGUAGCAGUGGCUAGCGAGCAACAGGUCGGCUUCCACAUAAACGAAACGCGCAAAUUCUUGCAAUGAAGAGAAGAAUAAAGAGCCUUGGCAUCUGAAUAUUUAUUUUCUGCUAGACUCAAACGGAGGUGUACUCAUAGACAUAAAGGUGUUCAAAAGUUCCCAACAAUAUCUAAUUUUCUCUAUCCCCACAUUUUGAAGCGCUGAGCAUUACUAAACUGGUUUGUAUAUGCGGUACAUAAGUUGAGAUUAGUGUUUUAGAGAAUGGGCUCGGUGGAGCCAGUUUUUCUUAAAAUAUGUCAAAAUAUUAUUUAAAUUUUUAAUAAAAAUCUAAUUAUUUUCUACAAAU